rnacentral:rRNA from 1 species
CAUACCUAUUGUUGCUUCGGCGGGAUUGCCCCGGGCGCCUCGUGUGCCCCGGAUCAGGCGCCCGCCUAGGAAACUUAACUCUUGUUUUAUUUUGGAAUCUUCUGAGUAGUUUUUACAAAUAAAUAAAAACUUUCAACAACGGAUCUCUUGGUUCUGGCAUCGAUGAAGAACGCAGCGAAAUGCGAUAAGUAAUGUGAAUUGCAGAAUUCAGUGAAUCAUCGAAUCUUUGAACGCACAUUGCGCCCGCCAGUAUUCUGGCGGGCAUGCCUGUCUGAGCGUCAUUUCAACCCUCAUGCCCCUAGGGCGUGGUGUUGGGGAUCGGCCAAAGCCCGCGAGGGACGGCCGGCCCCUAAAUCUAGUGGCGGACCCGUCGUGGCCUCCUCUGCGAAGUAGUGAUAUUCCGCAUCGGAGAGCGACGAGCCCCUGCCGUUAAACCCCCAACUUUCCAAGGUUGACCUCAGAUCAGGUAGGAAUACCCGCUGAACUUAAGCAUAUCAAUAAGCGGAGGAA